CGAUAUAGAGGGCGCCGGCCCUAACACAUGCAAGUCGAACGGUAACAGGAAGCAGCUUGCUGCUUCGCUGACGAGUGGCGGACGGGUGAGUAAUGUCUGGGAAACUGCCUGAUGGAGGGGGAUAACUACUGGAAACGGUAGCUAAUACCGCAUAACGUCGCAAGACCAAAGAGGGGGACCUUCGGGCCUCUUGCCAUCGGAUGUGCCCAGAUGGGAUUAGCUAGUAGGUGGGGUAACGGCUCACCUAGGCGACGAUCCCUAGCUGGUCUGAGAGGAUGACCAGCCACACUGGAACUGAGACACGGUCCAGACUCCUACGGGAGGCAGCAGUGGGGAAUAUUGCACAAUGGGCGCAAGCCUGAUGCAGCCAUGCCGCGUGUAUGAAGAAGGCCUUCGGGUUGUAAAGUACUUUCAGCGGGGAGGAAGGUGUUGAGGUUAAUAACCUCGUCAAUUGACGUUACCCGCAGAAGAAGCACCGGCUAACUCCGUGCCAGCAGCCGCGGUAAUACGGAGGGUGCAAGCGUUAAUCGGAAUUACUGGGCGUAAAGCGCACGCAGGCGGUCUGUCAAGUCGGAUGUGAAAUCCCCGGGCUCAACCUGGGAACUGCAUUCGAAACUGGCAGGCUAGAGUCUUGUAGAGGGGGGUAGAACUCCAUGUGUAGCGGUG
rnacentral:rRNA from 1 species